rnacentral:rRNA from 1 species
UUGACCUCAAAUCAGGUAGGACUACCCGCUGAACUUAAGCAUAUCAAUAAGCGGAGGAAAAGAAACUAACAAGGAUUCCCCUAGUAACUGCGAGUGAAGCGGGAAAAGCUCAAAUUUAAAAUCUGGCGGUCCUUGUGGCCGUCCGAGUUGUAAUUUAGAGAAGUGUUAUCCGCG